CAGGGAGACAACAAAAUGUUUAAUAUUAUUAUUUUGGCACCUUAGGUCGAUCGGGAUCUCACGUUCUUAAUUUGUUAAGAAUUUCAUUUCCUAAGUUUUUCUAGGUCACACCCAUUAUUUUUCCUGGGCCAUUAGCUCAGGUGGUUAGAGCGCACCCCUGAUAAGGGUGAGGUCCCUGGUUCAAGUCCAGGAUGGCCCAUAUCUCUAUGUUGGGGGUAUAGCUCAGUUGGUAGAGCGCCUGCUUUGCAAGCAGGAUGUCAGCGGUUCGAGUCCGCUUACCUCCACUGAUUACCACCUCUUCCAUAACUGGUAGAAAGGAAAUGUUUUGAGUUGUGAUUAUUAUUCUGAACGAAUCUAGCUUCCUAAUGAAAUCAUUAAGAUGCUGGACUCAUUGAAUUAAUUUCAUUGUUUUCAGAGAACCUUGACAACUGCAUAGAUUUUUUUAAAGACAAUAAGCAUCUUUAAUGAUGCAGAUUUAUUAUUUGUGCGAAUGCAUUAAUAACAAUUCUAUUAAGCUGAUGCUUCAAUUUUUGAAGUUAUU
rnacentral:tRNA from 1 species